rnacentral:rRNA from 1 species
UACGUAGGGAGCAAGCGUUGUCCGGAAUCAUUGGGCGUAAAGCGCGCGUAGGCGGUUACUUAAGUUGGAUGUGAAAGCCCUCGGCUUAACCGAGGAAGUGCAUCCAAAACUGAGUAGCUAGAGUACGAAAGAGGGUCGCGGAAUUCCCGGUGUAGAGGUGAAAUUCGUAGAUAUCGGGAGGAACACCGGUGGCGAAGGCGGCGACCUGGGUCGAGACUGACGCUGAGGCGCGAAAGCGUGGGGAGCAAACAGG